rnacentral:rRNA from 1 species
UACGGAGGGGGCUAGCGUUGUUCGGAAUUACUGGGCGUAAAGCGCGCGUAGGCGGUUACUUAAGUCGAAUGUGAAAGCCCUCGGCUUAACUGAGGAAGUGCAUCCGAAACUGAGUAGCUAGAGUACGAAAGAGGGUCGCGGAAUUCCCGGUGUAGAGGUGAAAUUCGUAGAUAUCGGGAGGAACACCGGUGGCGAAGGCGGCGACCUGGGUCGAGACUGACGCUGAGGCGCGAAAGCGUGGGGGAGCAAACAGG